CUAUGGCAAUGGUGUACCCUGAUGGCAGGGGCCUCUUUCAGCAGGGUAAUGCACCCUGCCACACUGGAAAAAAGCUCAGGAAUGGUUCGAGGAACAUGACAAAGAGUUCAGGGUGUUGCCAUGGCCUCCAAAUUCCACAGAUCUUAAUCCAGUUGAGUAUCUGUGGGAUGUGCUGGAACAACAAACCCGAUCCAUGGAGGCCCCAACUCGCAGCUUGUACGACUUAAAGGAUCUGCUGCUAAUGUCUUGGUGCCAGUUACAACAGGAUUUGUUCAGAGAACUUGUGGAGUUCAUGCCUCAAUGCAUCAGAGCCAUCUUGGCAGCACAAGGGAAACCUACACUAUAUCAGUCCGGUGGUUUUAAUGCUGUGGAUGAUCAGUGUAGUGCAUCAAUAGUGCAAAAUAACAGGGAACGAAGCUAAAACCAAAACAAAACAGUAGGAAUAUAGAAAAUGACAAUAUGAUAGCUUCACUAUCUCUUUUUUUUUUUUUUUAUGCUCCAUAUUAAUAAAUAAAAAUGUUUCAACUUAUGGUGGAUGAUUCAUUCUAAAUGUUAUUGAGUAACACCUGAAAGCUUUCAGAUAUCCAAUAUAUAAACAUAUGUAUUACAGAGAGGGCCACUGGUAUAAUGCAUGAAUGACAAUAAAAAGACUCUGAAAGGGAUGUUUGCCUCCCACUUCUACUCCAGACCCCAAAUACAGCAUUCCUCUUUGGGAACUAGAGAGGAAGAGUCCUCCCCCACACUCACUCACAGUUGUGCUUUGUGUGUACACUGUGGGUGUAUAACUUUUUAUUUGUAUAUAUUUGACUUAAAGGUGAUAGGGAAGUACACCUCUGUUGCACCCACUUCCUAUUAAUAUUUGCGUUUGAAGCGCCAACAGAACCUCUUUUCUAUUUUUAUACAGUGUGUUAUAUGUUAUGACAAUCAACACUCCAGCAGGACCUGUCUGACAAUUACCACUCACACUCCUGGAAUUAAAGAGAAAGCUUUCAGCUCAACAAAGUGAGCGUCUUGAGGUAAAGUGCAUUAAUGUCUGUAUUCUGCUACUUUUGUAUGUGUGGAUUGAAUAAUACUUUGCAAUACAGCUAUUCACUGUUAUAUAAUUCUUUAUUUCUCUAAUAUUUGAAGAGUAUUCUUUAUUUAUCCUACUGAAUGCCAAUAGAUGUGCAUGUGCUGAAAGUCUCACUUGCUGAGGUUGGUUUAGAUUAGUGGGUGUUCCAG